rnacentral:rRNA from 1 species
UGGGGAAUAUUGGACAAUGGGCGCAAGCCUGAUCCAGCCAUGCCGUGUGUGUGAAGAAGGCUCUAGGGUUGUAAAGCACUUUAGUUUGGGAGGAUGUUUAGGGAUGCGAAUAGUUUCCUUAGAUGACGUUACCAAAAGAAUAAGCACCGGCUAACUCCGUGCCAGCAGCCGCGGUAAUACGGAGGGUGCGAGCGUUAAUCGGAAUUACUGGGCGUAAAGGGCACGUAGGCGGCUAUGUAAGUGUGGUGUGAAAGCCCAGGGCUCAACCUUGGAACUGCACUUCAAACUGCAUAGCUAGAGUAAGGUAGAGGGAGGUAGAAUUUCCGGUGUAGCGGUGAAAUGCGUAGAGAUCGGAAGGAAUACCGGUGGCGAAGGCGGCCUCCUGGACUAUUACUGACGCUGAGGUGCGAAAGCGUGGGGAGCAAACAGG